rnacentral:rRNA from 1 species
CCCGCAACGAGCCUACCCAAUUUUCCUUACUUGCCAGCAUUUCGGAUGGGAACUUUAAGGAUACUGCCAGUGACAAACUGGAGGAAGGCGGUGAAAACAUCAAGUCAUCAUGGCCCUUACGGCCAGGGCUACACACGUGCUACAAUGGUCGGUACAAAGGGUUGCUACCUAGCGAUAGGAUGCUAAUCUAAAAAAGCCGAUCGUAGUCCGGAUUGGAGUCUGCAACUCGACUCCCUGAAGUCGGAAUCGCUAGUAAUCGCGGAUCAGAUGCCGCGGUGAAUACUUC